CUCUCUCUCUCUCUCUCUCUCUGUCUCUCUGUCUCCUCUCCUGCUGUCUGAACGCAGCUUGCAAGAGAAAAAAAGAACCGUUCUCGCAGACUAUCGACGCGACGACAGACGGUGGUACCGGUCGCCGCACGCGCUUCCCGCGAUCGAUUCGCGUUAGCCCUUUCUUCCGGAUCCUCUUGGAUCCCUUCUGGCCGUCCCUCCUGGCCCUCCUGGCUGCUCUUCGUCCGGAGUUACUCACGCAUCCGCCCCCGCUGUCCACGGAGGGCGCCGGCCGAGGAUGAUGUGGAGGAUGUGAGCGACGCGACCCGGAGCGAAGCGUCCUGGUCCGCCGGCGCGAUGAAAUGGUGACGAAUUUCAGUAUCGAACAUCUGGCCGCACGUCCUGAGGGACACAUAGAUCAGAAGUAAGGAUGGCCUUUCAUUGGGAUAAGCUCUCCCCAGCUGAAUUCCAACAACUCCAAGACUUCGCAGCUUAUUCCACCCGGAAACUCCAGGAUGUUCUGGCCGAAUUCUGCGGGAGCAACACGACACCGGCUGGCGUGCCGAAAUAUCAUCCAGACGGAGACAUCGAUUACGAGGGCUUCCGCAAGUUUCUCAACUCGUAUCUGGAGAUCGACACGCCCGAUGACCUGUGCCGGCACCUCUUCCUCUCGUUCGUCAGGAAGUCCUCGCGCGGGGUGGACAGCAAGGCUUUCAAGGAGAUGGCCGCGCUCUCCUCGACAACCGCCUGCGCCGCAAUUACAUCGCACACGACUUCCAGCAGUAACGUUAAUAGCACCGGCGGCGCCGCCGCCGCCGCCGCCGCCGAGAGCUACAGCGGUGGUGGGUCCUCGUUGGCCGACAAAAUUCACGGGAUUACGGAAAAAUUGCAAGCGCUCAGCCACCACAGAUCGGAGAGCGAAGCCUCCAGGACGCGAGCAGGAAGCGUGCAUCCGAUGUUAACAGUCACCCACACGUCGUACAGCUACCACGACGUGAUGGAGAAGAAGAGCACAGACACCAGCCCGAGCCACAGUCAAAUGUCGCGAAAUUCAUCCAGGAAGUCGAACAAUUCUCUCCUCGUCAAUAACGGGAAAUUGGAAGAGAUGAGACACCUCGUCAGAAAGCAGAGCACGAUAGAUGUCCACUCCGUUAAAGUCAGCCUGAAAGAUAUCGUCUGUUACUUGUCCCUACUGGAGGCCGGCAGACCGGAAGACAAACUCGAAUUCAUGUUCCGGCUAUACGACACGGAUGGGAACGGCGUCCUUGAUACAAACGAGAUGGACUGCAUCGUGAAUCAGAUGAUGAAUGUCGCGGAGUAUCUCGGCUGGGACGUUACGGAAUUGAAGCCGAUCCUGCAGGACAUGAUGCUGGAGAUCGAUUACGACGCGGACGGUACGGUCUCGUUGGAGGAGUGGAAGAGAGGCGGCCUCACGACAAUCCCCCUGUUGGUUCUUUUGGGUCUGGAUUCCCACGUGAAGGAGGAUGGCAACCAUCUGUGGAGGUUGAAGCACUUCAGUAAACCCGCGUACUGCAACCUCUGUCUGAACAUGUUGGUCGGCCUCGGCAAGAAAGGGCUUUGUUGCGUUUUUUGCAAGUACACGGUGCACGAGAGGUGCGUGCAGAGAGCGCCGCCCUCCUGCAUAGCGACUUACGUGAAGAGCAAGAAAACGUCCCAGACGAUGGUUCAUCACUGGGUCGAAGGUAAUUGCCACGGGAAAUGUUCCAAGUGCAGAAAGACGAUCAAGAGUUACAACGGCAUCACCGGCCUGCAUUGCAGAUGGUGCCAGAUCACCCUACAUAAUAGAUGCGUGUCGCAAGUACGAGCGGAAUGUACACUCGGCGAGCAUGCGCUUCAUAUCCUUCCACCUACGGCGAUUUGCCCCGUUGUUCUGGACAGACAGAGAUCGUUCUCAAAGGACAAACGAGGUAGCAAGUACGGCCAGGACUCCUCGUCCGUUAGUUCCAGUGGUUACCUGCCGUGUGGCAGCUCGUCAAGUCCGCAACCAGCGAUGUCCUUCCAAAUCACACCGCCGUCCGGCACGAUGCCGCUCUUGGUAUUCAUAAAUCCGAAGUCGGGCGGCCGACAAGGCGAGCGGAUGUUGCGAAAAUUUCAAUAUAUCCUGAACCCCCGGCAGGUUCAUAAUCUAGCGAUCGGCGGACCCAUGCAGGGCCUGCAGAUGUUCAAGGACGUGGAGAACUUCAAGGUGAUUUGUUGCGGUGGCGACGGCACGGUCGGCUGGGUCUUGGAAACCAUGGAUCGUGUGCAAUUCGAGCACCAACCUGCCGUAGGCGUUAUUCCUCUCGGUACAGGCAACGACCUUGCCAGGUGCUUACGUUGGGGAGGUGGCUACGAAGGGGAAGCGGUGCACAAGGUUCUUAAGAAAAUAGAGAAGGCAACGCCGGUAAUGAUGGAUCGUUGGCAAAUAGAGGUUCUAGAUCAAAAGGACGAGAAGAAACCAAAUCAAGACAGUAUACCGUACAAUAUCAUUAAUAAUUACUUCUCGGUGGGCGUGGACGCCGCCAUUUGCGUGAAGUUUCACAUGGAAAGGGAGAAGAAUCCCGAGAAGUUCAACAGCAGAAUGAAAAAUAAGCUGUGGUAUUUCGAGUACGCCACCACAGAGCAAUUCGCCGCGAGUUGUAAAAAUCUUCACGAGGAUCUCGAGAUAAUCUGCGACGGUACGCCUUUGGACCUGGCGCACGGGCCAUCUCUGCAAGGGGUCGCAUUAUUAAACAUUCCUUUCACUCAUGGGGGCUCGAACCUCUGGGGUGAACAUCACACACGUUAUCGUCUCGGUAAACGAAAAAAGCGACCUGACAAGGAACUUAGUACGAGUAGCUUCAAUUCCGUGGACCUCACAGCCGCUAUUCAGGACAUCGGCGACAAUCUCAUAGAAGUAAUCGGCUUGGAGAACUGCUUACACAUGGGUCAAGUGAAGACCGGCCUUCGGCAUUCCGGCAGGAGGCUCGCCCAAUGCAGCAGCAUCACCAUAAUCACGAGUAAACGAUUCCCCAUGCAGAUCGACGGGGAACCUUGGAUGCAAGGCCCUUGCACGAUUCGCAUCACACACAAGAAUCAAGUACCAAUGCUGAUGGCACCACCGCCGGAUAAGGGCAAGGGCUUCUUUCGGUUCUUAAAGAGGUAAACUGAAACGGCAGUUUUACGCUUUCACAAGAGGAGGAUGGAUACUAUAUUAGGGCUGCGAGGCGAGAUAGAACUCCGUUCGCGAAUUCGCACUUGAGGUAUCCUGUUUGCAAAGACGUCGUCUUUCCAGUUAAGGGUCAAAUCACUUCGCGCAAGCACCGGUCGCACAGCGGGCGCUUCCGUGUGUUUCGACUUUUGAGUCUGCCGCUUCUUACGCGCACAGUGUCGACUAACACAUGUAUAUCCUACACGCGACAAACAGUCACGCUGACACGGCGAAUUGUGCGGCGUCGUGCAAACGAGAGAAAGAGAGUGGAGUUGUGACGGCCGACUUCGACUAUAUCGUUAGUGGAUGUGUAUGUGUGAAUUCUCUUCGAGAUCUAUCGCCGAACUAUUACACUCUUAGCGUAGAAAGGACGAGCGAAGACGGGUGGUGGUCCGGACUGGUCGAUAUAUGUUUGUGUGAUAACGUGAUAUAUUCCUAAUUCUGGUUCUCCUUUGCACGAGUCCGUCCGUCAAUCACGAGUCACAUAUUUUCCUCUCUUAAUUCUAGGUUUUUUGUACCAAAGAGAAAAAGGAAAAAGAGAGAAAAGAAACGGAAGCUUAGUUGUAUAAAGCGCGCUUAGAUCUAUAACACAAUCGCGACUUAUUUAUCUCUUAUUUAUUCGACGAUGUGUAUUUAUUUAUUUAUUUAUUCUUCUCGUAUAUUUUGUAAGUCAGAGCAAUAUAUCAGAGGCAUAUCAGCGAGAGCGAGUGCGAUUGCGUGGCGCGUUGUAACAUUCAGUUGUUGAUACUUGCGAGAUCGUGAGUCGUGUAGUAUCGCUGAAGAAGCGUCACGGCUUCGUCCCGCGCAAUGUAUAACCGUCGACAUUGAAUAUGUAAUUUGCGUCUUCACGCUGUGUUUAUUACAUUCGGUGAUUGCGAUUGUUACUUUCUUUUUUCCUAUUUCUUUUUUUUUUUUUAACGUACAUUCACACACUUUGAGUACCUGCAUUUCGUGUUGACGAACAAUCACAGCUAGCUAACUAACUACAUAUAAUUGUGACUCUGUCUCUCCCUCUAACUUUCUUGUGAAUCCAUCGACAUGUUCUUCUCUUGUAUUAAACGUAUAUACAAAUGGCUGUAUUCUACACACUGCUGUGAUGGCCCUACGCUGAUUUACAUAACGCAUGCUUCGGAGGAAACGCUUCCUUUCUUUCUCGGCGAUCGUUGGCAUUCCCUGACUUAAACUUUAUACGUGAACGAAACGUCGAUCGUAUCCGCAUCGUUUCUCAGGAUUUUCCGCGAACACUAACACACGAUGAAGUAGCCCGCGUAGCCGUUAAGAGAAAACGUAUACGUCGUCCAUUGUAUCGUAUUGAAUUCUAUUUCCGAGCACUCGUUAGACUCACAUUUCGUUGAUACGCGGUCGAUGAAUGAACCGAGAUAUCAAUUUCCAAUCGAACUAUAGUAGAGAUGAAAAACUUUAUGCUUUUGUAUAAUUAAUAUAUACGCAGCCGAGGAAAAGUAUAAUAUAUUACGAAUACAAUUUAAAAUCCCGCAGGGACCAUCUCGAGAUAUAACGCAUCUAACGAUAAAGAUGAAAUCUUAAAUUUUUCAUAUCUCCGUGACACAGACCGAUAAUCUUUUAUCCUUUUGAAUCGUCAUUUUAGCGACACGUCGCGGCUGCACGUUUCAUUGCCGCGCAAAAUAGAUGGAUGAGCGCGACGCGACGCGAUAGUUGAUUGAUUUUAGAGAGAGAAAGAAAAAGAAUGAAAAAUAUUAUAAGUGGGAUUUAGCAUAGUUUACGCGAUAUUUAUGAUAAUUCAGGAUACAACAUUACCUCCACCGGAUAGACGGUUUAGCUUGUCUUUCUCUCUCUCUCUCUCUCUCUCUCUCUC
rnacentral:misc_RNA from 1 species